rnacentral:rRNA from 1 species
GAUGAACGCUGGCGGCGUGCCUAAUACAUGCCAGUCGAGCGAACAGACGAGGAGCUUGCUCCUCUGACGUUAGCGGCGGACGGGUGAGUAACACGUGGAUAACCUACCUAUAAGACUGGGAUAACUUCGGGAAACCGGAGCUAAUACCGGAUAAUAUAUUGAACCGCAUGGUUCAAUAGUGAAAGACGGUUUUGCUGUCACUUAUAGAUGGUUCCGCGCCGCAUUAGCUAGUUGGUAAGGUAACGGCUUACCAAGGCAACGAUGCGUAGCCGACCUGAGAGGGUGAUCGGCCACACUGGAACUGAGACACGGUCCAGACUCCUACGGGAGGCAGCAGUAGGGAAUCUUCCGCAAUGGGCGAAAGCCUGACGGAGCAACGCCGCGUGAGUGAUGAAGGUCUUCGGAUCGUAAAACUCUGUUAUUAGGGAAGAACAAAUGUGUAAGUAACUAUGCACGUCUUGACGGUACCUAAACAGAAAGCCACGGCUAACUACGUG